rnacentral:tRNA from 1 species
GCCCGCGCUGGCGGCGAAAGCCGAAGUGGGAAGAAAAUCCCUCGCCGCAAGGCGUGCCGGUUCGAUUCCGGCCUCGGGCACCA